CAGGUUUGAUCUCUGAAAAAAAAAAAAAAAAACUAUUGUUCUAAUUUCUUUUUAAUUCUGUUGCUAUUCUUUAAUUUUAGUGGAAUUUACAGCAGAUUGAUCAUUGGGUGAAGUAGAAGACAAGUGCUUUAGCUUAGAAUAUCUUUGAGCUUGCUCAAAGACAUGAAUAAAAAUUUUACUUGAAGAGGCACAUGACUGGAAGCUUUCCACUCCAUGCAAGCCAAUACCACAGAGUUCUCUUUGGCCGGCCAACACAUAAUGGACCUUAGAGACUAAGCCGAUCAGAGAUGCUCAGCAUCCCGAAUCUAUCAAAUCAAAGUUGUCAGCUGCUUCAGCCAGGUGUUGGAAAGAGUUGCCUGCUUUUACGAUUCUCUGAUGGCUCCUUCACAACCAGCUUCAUACCACUAUUGGAGAUUUUGGAGUUCCAUUGGUUCUGCAGCACUUGCAAAUGGCUCAUCUGCAAGGAAUUUUGAUACCUAUAGUACAAGGAAGUUAAUUUAAGUGAAAGCUUUGAAUUUAAUCUUCAGGCAGUGGGGUAUUGAGGCCAAUAUGAAGCAAUGGAAUAUAACUGGAGACCCAUGUAGUGGAGCUGCCAGUGACUCCACUGCAUUCGACAGUGGCGAUUACAACCCCUUCAUCAAAUAAGACUGUUCUGUCAUUUACUCUCUUACUGUCAAUGUUUUUUCUUCAAUUCCACUCUGAAGAACCAUACUUACCUUAAAUAUCACACCCAUGCAAUGAUCAUGAUUUGCAUUUGCAGGGAAGUUUA